CAGUCUGCGUGGAGCCGACCUUGAAAUACCACCCUUUAAUGUUUGAUGUUCUAACGUGGAUCCGUAAUCCGGGUUGCGGACAGUGUCUGGUGGGUAGUUUGACUGGGGCGGUCUCCUCCUAAAGAGUAACGGAGGAGCACGAAGGUUGGCUAAUCCUGGUCGGACAUCAGGAGGUUAGUGCAAUGGCAUAAGCCAGCUUGACUGCGAGCGUGACGGCGCGAGCAGGUGCGAAAGCAGGUCAUAGUGAUCCGGUGGUUCUGAAUGGAAGGGCCAUCGCUCAACGGAUAAAAGGUACUCCGGGGAUAACAGGCUGAUACCGCCCAAGAGUUCAUAUCGACGGCGGUGUUUGGCACCUCGAUGUCGGCUCAUCACAUCCUGGGGCUGAAGUAGGUCCCAAGGGUAUGGCUGUUCGCCAUUUAAAGUGGUACGCGAGCUGGGUUUAGAACGUCGUGAGACAGUUCGGUCCCUAUCUGCCGUGGGCGCUGGAGAACUGAGGGGGGCUGCUCCUAGUACGAGAGGACCGGAGUGGACGCAUCACUGGUGUUCGGGUUGUCAUGCCAAUGGCACUGCCCGGUAGCUAAAUGCGGAAGAGAUAAGUGCUGAAAGCAUCUAAGCACGAAACUUGCCCCGAGAUGAGUUCUCCCUGAGACUUAGAGUCUCCUGAAGGAACGUUGAAGACGACGACGUUGAUAGGCCGGGUGUGUAAGCGCAGCGAUGCGUUGAGCUAACCGGUACUAAUGAACCGUGAGGCUUAACCUU
rnacentral:rRNA from 1 species